AUGAACGCUGGCGGCGUGCCUAAUACAUGCAAGUCGAGCGAACAGAUAAGGAGCUUGCUCCUUUGACGUUAGCGGCGGACGGGUGAGUAACACGUGGGUAACCUACCUAUAAGACUGGGAUAACUUCGGGAAACCGGAGCUAAUACCGGAUAACAUUUGGAACCGCAUGGUUCUAAAGUGAAAGAUGGUUUUGCUAUCACUUAUAGAUGGACCCGCGCCGUAUUAGCUAGUUGGCAAGGUAACGGCUUACCAAGGCGACGAUACGUAGCCGACCUGAGAGGGUGAUCGGCCACACUGGAACUGAGACACGGUCCAGACUCCUACGGGAGGCAGCAGUAGGGAAUCUUCCGCAAUGGGCGAAAGCCUGACGGAGCAACGCCGCGUGAGUGAUGAAGGGUUUCGGCUCGUAAAACUCUGUUAUUAGGGAAGAACAAAUGUGUAAGUAACUGUGCACGUCUUGACGGUACCUAAUCAGAAAGCCACGGCUAACUACGUG
rnacentral:rRNA from 1 species